rnacentral:rRNA from 1 species
GACGAACCGUGCGAACGUUGUUCGGAAUCACUGGGCUUAAAGGGCGCGUAGGCGGCUCGCCAAGUCGGGGGUGAAAUCUUGCCGCUUAACGGCAAAAGAGCUUCCGAUACUGGCGGGCUGGAGGGGGAUAGGGGUGCGCGGAACUUCCGGUGGAGCGGUGAAAUGCGUAGAGAUCGGAAAGAACACCAACGGCGAAAGCACUCUGCUGGGCCGACACUGACACUGAGAGACGAAAGCUAGGGGAGCGAAUGGG